rnacentral:misc_RNA from 1 species
CCAAUAGCGUAUAUUAAAGUUGUUGCAGUUAAAAAGCUCGUAGUUGAAUUUUAGGCCUGGCCGGAUGGUCCGUCUUUGGCGAGUACUGUUCUGUCGUCGGGUCUAUCCUUCUGGUGAGCCGGGAUGCCCUUUAUUGGGUGUGUCGGGGAACCAGGACCAUUACCUUGAAAAAAUUAGAGUGUUUAAAGCGGGCAUUUGCUUGAAUAGAUUAGCAUGGAAUAAUAGAAUAGGACGUUGGUUCUAUUUUGUUGGUUUUAGGACCACCGUAAUGAUUAAUAGGGAUAGUUGGGGGCAUUAGUAUUCAAUUGUAAGAGGUGAAAUUCUUGGAUUUAUUGAAGACUAACUAUUGCGAAAGCAUUUGCCAAGGAUGUUUUCAUUAAUCAAGAACGAAAGUUAGGGGAUCGAAGACGAUCAGAUACCGUCGUAGUCUUAACCAUAAACUAUGCCGACUAGGAAUCGGGCGACGUUAUUUCAUGACUCGCUCGGCGCCUUAUG